rnacentral:misc_RNA from 1 species
AUGGGCCAUUGAGGUGUUGCAGUUUUUGUAAAGGCCCAUUGAUCCGUUACGCACAAAUCCCCACAUGUAACCAAUGGAGCUGUAGGUGGAGCUGCAGGGCAGGCAUUAUAUACAUCAGAGACCUUGCAAUUAAAACAAAUAGCCCCACAUGUCUGAAACGAUGACUCAUCGUGCCAUGUGAGUCAUUUCAGCUUGCGUGGCUUGCUAGGAAAUACCUUCAUUUAGGUGUCUGUGCUGAUGGCAUUAUUGUUAGUACGUAGAUGUCGGAGCUGAGUGUGUUUGGGUGAGGGAGUUCACAGCACAUUGGAUGUGAUAAUGGUUCAGGAGUCAACAGUGUUUUGGUGGGCAGGUUCACCUUGAUGACUUCACCGUUUGAUCUAUUGGACCUACUGUGGCUUGUACAGCCAGCUUGUCCAUUAGAUAAACAUACAUGACCCGGCUCCACAACCCUAGAUGACCCAAGUUGACCUGAGGAGCCUUGGCCUUGAUAUGACUGUUUCCUGUGGACGCCCAGGGCGGGUGCAUGCUGCAUGUUUUUGACUGCCAGAUAACUGCGGCGGCCAUGACUUGGUGUCUUGUGGGUAACACAGGGGCAGUUCACAUUUUGCCUCAGUCUAUGAUCUUCGUCGGGCGAGACAACUGCGACAUUAACAUUCAGUCUCGGAGCGUUGAUAAGCGCCACUCUGUCAUUAACUUUGACCAAUAUGACAAGGCUUUUUUCAUCAAGGACAUGGAGACUUUAAAUGGGACAUUUGUUAAUGAAACCAGAAUACCUGAUCAGACUUAUAUCAGUUUGCAGCGUGGAGACUCUAUUAGGUUUGGAUAUGAUA